rnacentral:rRNA from 1 species
UCGAAUCCUGCAUAGCAGAAUGACCAGAGAA